AGAUACCCCUGAAAGAAACCAGUAACAUCAGGUACCUUUUAAUCAACGCUUGACUUCCCAGAGUUCGAAUGUUUUCUGCUUUCCUUAAAAGGAAGGACACCCCUGCCCAGUCCCUCCUGUCAAAGCGGGGACAUGACCUUGUCAGCAGUGGCUCAGCGGAGGGACUGUGAAUUAUAUCACGGAGAAUUAGCUCCUUCCAUGAAGCUGCUACGGAAGAAAGCCAUUCCCACUACGUUUUCCGUAUUCACAUAUGAAAAA